UGUGAGAUGUGGAGGAGCACAAAGCCAUUGCCAUUUAUCUCAAUCGCCUCAUCCGUCAGGGCUACUGUAUCCUUGACCUCACUGCUUGUGGCCUCGGGGAUCCUGAGACCACCCUUACCGAAGUUCAUCCUGUUUGCCCUGCACAUCUGGGGAAGCAGCUCAUAGCAAGGUGGUCUUUUCCCCCCAGAAGUUGAUUUCAGACCUGAACACCUGCCGCCUAAUGCCAAAGGACUUGUGGUUUGGAUAACUGAAGCCAAGGCGUGUCACAUUUCUAUGGUUUUCUCGGGAUCCAAUUAGCGGGAACCAAAAAAGCACAGGCAGCCUUCAAAUCGAUUAAAAAAAAAAAAAACCCACAUUCAGACAUGUUUAUGCAUACCUCAUGUACAGGUUUUAUCCAAGGAAGGACUGCAGUUUCUAGCUCUGCUGCCAACACUCCGCCCUAAUGUCAGAGUCAUUGCUGAACGUGGAAAUUGGUCUUAAUGUUAUAAGCUUAAUUUCACCAUGCAUCCACAGUUUCAUAUUGCAAUCAGUGAAGUCUCAGAAUGAUUGAACCCUGCAAGUUGCCAGUUCGUUUUCCAGCAAACCAUCAUUUGCCAUGUCAAGCAAUGCUUAUGAAACAAUAAUGAUAAUCUUCUUGGUAUCAAAAAAAUCAAACUAUGCGUCUAGAGGUAUUUUCACAUUUGUUUUUGUUAAUUCCAUCACCAUCAAAGGCAAUUUCAUCUUUUAAGGUCCAUUAAUUGAUUCUUUUAAUGGAUAAAGUUAUUGGCAAGUUAGAGGUGAUCGUGCAUUGUGUUCAGCUGAGGCACUGACUUGGACUGACAUCAACAGACAUGAUUGUAUCCUUAUUA